rnacentral:rRNA from 1 species
CCUACGGGUUGCACCAGUGGGGAAUUUUGGACAAUGGGCGCAAGCCUGAUCCAGCAAUGCCGCGUGAGCGAAGAAGGCCUUCGGGUUGUAAAGCUCUUUUGUCAGGGAAGAAACGGGAUUGGCUAAUAUCCAGUCCUAAUGACGGUACCUGAAGAAUAAGCACCGGCUAACUACGUGCCAGCAGCCGCGGUAAUACGUAGGGUGCAAGCGUUAAUCGGAAUUACUGGGCGUAAAGCGUGCGCAGGCGGUUUUGUAAGUCUGUCGUGAAAUCCCCGGGCUCAACCUGGGAAUUGCGAUGGAGACUGCAAGGCUAGAAUCUGGCAGAGGGGGGUAGAAUUCCACGUGUAGCAGUGAAAUGCGUAGAGAUGUGGAGGAACACCGAUGGCGAAGGCAGCCCCCUGGGUCAGGAUUGACGCUCAUGCACGAAAGCGUGGGGAGCAAACAGGAUUAGAUACCCUCGUAGUC